rnacentral:tRNA from 1 species
GCGCCGUUAGCUCAGCUUGGUAGAGCAGUUGAUUCUUAAUCAACGGGUCGUGGGUUCGAAUCCCUCACGGCGCA